AUACGGAGGAUCCGAGCGUUAUCCGGAUUUAUUGGGUUUAAAGGGUGCGUAGGCGGCCUUUUAAGUCAGCGGUGAAAGUCUGUGGCUCAACCAUAGAAUUGCCGUUGAAACUGGGGGGCUUGAGUAUGUUUGAGGCAGGCGGAAUGCGUGGUGUAGCGGUGAAAUGCUUAGAUAUCACGCAGAACCCCGAUUGCGAAGGCAGCCGGCCAAGCCAUGACUGACGCUGAUGCACGAAAGCGUGGGGAUCAAACAGGAUUAGAUACCCUGGUAGUCCACGCAGUAAACGAUGAUCACUAGCUGUUUGCGAUACACUGUAAGCGGCACAGCGAAGGCGUUAAGUGAUCCACCUGGGGAGUACGCCGGCAACGGUGAAACUCAAAUGAAUUGACGGGG
rnacentral:rRNA from 1 species